UACCGAGUUUUCACUCCCAAACCCUUAUGUGAACCUACCUAUCGUUGCUUCGGCGGACUCGCCCCAGCCGGACGCGGACUGGACCAGCGGCCGCCGGGGACCAUCAAACUCUUAUAUUAUCAGCAUCUUCUGAAUACGCCGCAAGGCAAAACAAAUAAAUUAAAACUUUCAACAACGGAUCUCUUGGCUCUGGCAUCGAUGAAGAACGCAGCGAAAUGCGAUAAGUAAUGUGAAUUGCAGAAUCCAGUGAAUCAUCGAAUCUUUGAACGCACAUUGCGCCCGCCAGCAUUCUGGCGGGCAUGCCUGUUCGAGCGUCAUUUCAACCCUCGACCUCCCUUUGGGGAAGUCGGCGUUGGGGACCGGCAGCACACCGCCGGCCCUGAAAUGGAGUGGCGGCCCGUCCGCGGCGACCUCUGCGUAGUAAACCAACUCGCACCGGAACCCCGACGUGGCCACGCCGUAAAACACCCAACUUCUGAACGUUGACCUCGAAUCAGGUAGGACUACCCGCUGAACUUAAGCAUA
rnacentral:rRNA from 1 species